GAGCUGGAAUUCAUGCUGGAAGUCCGAAUCGGUUCCGGACUAGUUUGACUGGGUAGAGGAAUAACCGCUGUCAAUUCUGUCGCACUCAGCCACAAAAAAAACAUGACGACAGUAGCGCACCUGGUUUAGAUAUCCAAACUACCUUCGAAACCGUUAGAGAUUUUACACAAGUUGAAUGCUGAAGAUGGACGUCUGUUCUCUGUGCUACAAGUGCAAUCUGUUUUAAGAGCGGCUUCAAGAGCGCCAUAAAACUACAAUUGCUACUAGAGCUGUAAAUAUACGAUCAAAGAUUCCACAUAGGGAUACCCGAGUACCUGGUACCGCAGUUGGCGCCGUAACAAGUAUAUUCAUGUCAAAUAGUUCUGAGGUAAGCAACAUUUGACAUAGGUACCAACAUCGAAAGAAUUUUACGCAGAGGAUACAUGCUAUAUAAAUUCAAAAUAGCGUCAUAACUAUUUGCCAUGAAAGCGACUCAAGUGUACUCCAGUAUUCAAUACAAAUAAACUCGUUCUUAUGCGAUACUUAUGCUAUUCAAUAAUACCGUUGCAGCGAUGUCUAAGCCGGAAACAUCCUGCUGACCGAACAGGAUGUAGACAGGUUAGCCGACAGCGAUAGUGCAGCUAUCAAAUGCCCUGCCAAUAGUUUUGUCGGAACACCUUACUGGAUGGCCCCGGAAGUGAUUCUGGCGAUGUAUGAAGGAUAGUAUGAUGGCAAGGUGGAUGUUUAGUCACUAGGAAUUACUUGUAUCGAGCUGGAGAAACGGAAUCAUUCCUACUUCAACAUGAUGGAAAUGUUGACGCUGUAUCACAUUGCGCAAAAUGAGGCGUCCACGUUGCAGGCUACGGACUGGAAAGAUGUGUUCAGCAGUUUUGUUUUUUGCUUGAAGAAACCUUCGGUAGAGUAACCAAACUCUAGUAAACUGUUAACUCAUUCAUUCAUAACUAGGAUACGAUUGCUAAUGUGCUAAUUGAUUUGAUAGCAAGAACAAUAGCUGCCGUUACAGAAUUGGACAAUCUGAACUGUAGGAAGAUGAACAAAAUUUAAAUGGCCAACUCCUGCGAAACGGAAGUAACGUCGGCGAGAACACACCGGACGAGCGAAUCGGUGGCGACAGUAGUACAAAUAACAGGAUCACCUUAGAACAUUCACUCCAUUCGGUGGAUCAGCUUGGUGGAAUUAUACGGAAUGCUUCGAGGCAUCAGCUGCCAGGAUCCGGGCUGACGCCAAUGCACAACAGUAGUAUGAAUAACUCUAGCGAUCGGGGUAGUUUGAAACCUGGCGACGGUAUUGGUCGGAUGGAUUCCGGAAUUGGUGGAGGCAGCAGCGAAGGUAUAGACAGCUGGUGGAAGUUGUUCUGGACUCUUGCUCCGGAAACAUCAGUGUUCAUGCCACACGCAGAAAAAUAAUUUUUAAUGUCAAAUAAUAUGA